UUCUCAAGCCAAAGUUACCAUCUCUUGAUGAGAAUAAAUGUUGAACAAAGGUAGAUUACUUUGAAGUGGAUUUGGUUUGUUUUGGCUGCUAUUUGGUGUCCUUGUAGGUUCGUGGAGAUUACUCUGAAGAUGUUGGCACAUAGGUAUUUUUACUUGAAAAAGUGAUAUUUACUCUUUCCAUCCCUGUAUAUAAGCAUCUUUUGCUUUUCUCACUUUUAUUAAGAAAAGUUGGAGUAUGUACUAUGUAGUAAGUUUUGCGUUUUCAUAUUCCAAGACACUUAAUGAGGGGACAAAUUUUUAGUUAAAUAAGUGAUUAUAUUUAGGGACAUGGAAGUUUAUUUGAAAAGAGGAGGUAAGGGAAGGAAAUUUCACUUUGCUCUUCUCUUUUCAUUGUUUUAUAUACUUGCAUAUUUGUUCUUUGCAGAACUCUAUAUUGAACAUAAUAGUUUGCUCGAAUUCGGCUUUGUUACAUUCUAAUAGCGCCGUAUUGCAAAAUAAGAACUAUUUGUUCGAAUUCUGCUAUGCAAUAGCACUGAUAUUUUACCACACUAGUACUGAAGAUGUUUAAAUCAAAUAUAAAUUUAACAUUUUGAAUUGCACAUCACAGUAGUUGACAUCCUUGAAAACAAAGAGAUCAAAGUUUAACUUCACUUGAGAGAAUACUGAACAUAACAACAUCUAUACUUUUUCCCUUAAAGAACAGAUAUUUUCUGAGAACACCUUCCCUUUCAAAACCAGCCUUCUCCAACACCCUUUGAGAAGCCACAUUUUCCACAUCAACUCGAGCCUCAAGCCUCUCCAAGUAUGGAAACUCCUUAAAUGCAGCAUCAACCACUUUUUUUACAACCAU
rnacentral:lncRNA from 1 species